rnacentral:rRNA from 1 species
GACGAACGCUGGCGGCGUGCCUAAUACAUGCAAGUAGAACGCUGAAGGAGGAGCUUGCUUCUCUGGAUGAGUUGCGAACGGGUGAGUAACGCGUAGGUAACCUGCCUGGUAGCGGGGGAUAACUAUUGGAAACGAUAGCUAAUACCGCAUAAUAGCAGUUGUUGCAUGACAACUGUUUGAAAGGUGCAAUUGCACCACUACCAGAUGGACCUGCGUUGUAUUAGCUAGUUGGUGGGGUAACGGCUCACCAAGGCGACGAUACAUAGCCGACCUGAGAGGGUGAUCGGCCACACUGGGACUGAGACACGGCCCAGACUCCUACGGGAGGCAGCAGGAGGGAAUCUUCGGCAAGGGACGGAAGUCUGACUGAGCAACGCCGCGUGAGUGAAGAAGGUUUUCGGAUCGUAAAGCUCUGUUGUAAGAGAAGAACGAGUGUGAGAGUGGAAAGUGCACACUGUGACGGUAUCUUACCAGAAAGGGACGGCUAACUACGUG